rnacentral:lncRNA from 1 species
UGGUCACAUGGUCACAUAUGUUAUGGUAAUUACUCCUGCAAAAAAUUAUUGCAAUCUCUUUUUCCAAAGAGUGGAUGGCAUUAUUUGUCAUCAAAAUUGGGGGAAAAACAAAAUAUUGUUUGACUUAUUUUGAAUACAGCAUCAGAUAUUUAUUGGCAAAAAAACAUUCUGUAUUGUUCUUAAGCAUUUCUAUUUAGUAAACUUAGUUUGCAGAGACUUUCACCAUGUCACAGUAUGUGUAUGUGACAAAACGGGAAAUGCUAGAAAAAUGUAUUACUAUUGGUUUGUGAAUGAGUGUGUAAGAGAGAGGGUGCAGGAUGCCUAGAAAUAGUAUCUUUUCUGAAUUUUAACUUUCCAAAUUACCAACUGCCUGAUUAAUUAGGCAUAAAGCACUAUGAAAGAGUGUUUUCUUGUAGUCGGACAAGGACUCCUUGAUUUUGAAGUUCUCCUAGUAUUUAACACAUGAGAAAACAAAACAAGCAUUGUAUUUACAUACUUCGUGUGGGACUGUGAAGUGAUGUAGCAUUGAUUUAAAGAGGGCCUUCACUUAUUUUCAUUACAUAUGUGACCAUACUAGAUUUUCAGCAUGAAGGCUGUUGUAGCAUUCUGGCUUUUGCCAAAAAAACUUUCCUUAAGGCUCAGUCCCAGUCCUCUGUUUCUGGUGUCUCAUCUAAAUUUCUCCUCCAUCACUGCUACCUCCUCACUCAUAUUUACAGAUCAUUCCUGGCAUGUUCCUCCUCUCUCUCUCUCUCUCUCUCUCCUCCCUCUCCUCUCCUCUCUAUCUCUCCUCUCUCUUCUCUCUCUCCUCUCUCUCUCCCUCUUUCUCUCUCUCUCUCCCCCUCCCUCCCUCUCUCUCUUUUCUGCCCUCCCUUCUGUCUAGCAUGAUUUCUAUUUAGACUAGUGAAUCUUCACAGACACCCCUGCCUUUCACUGAAUAAACAUUUAAGUUUAGAUUCAGAAUUCACAUUUUGGAACUGGAAAUGUUGAUAAAGGUGACAUCAUAAGUU